UACGAAGGGGGCUAGCGUUGCUCGGAAUCACUGGGCGUAAAGCGCACGUAGGCGGACUCUUAAGUCGGUGGUGAAAUCCUGGAGCUCAACUCCAGAACUGCCUUCGAUACUGAGAGUCUCGAGUCCGAGAGAGGUGAGUGGAACUGCGAGUGUAGAGGUGAAAUUCGUAGAUAUUCGCAAGAACACCAGUGGCGAAGGCGGCUCACUGGCUCGGUACUGACGCUGAGGUGCGAAAGCGUGGGGAUCAAACAGG
rnacentral:rRNA from 1 species